UACGUAGGGUGCAAGCGUUAAUCGGAAUUACUGGGCGUAAAGCGUGCGCAGGCGGUUGUGCAAGACAGAUGUGAAAUCCCCGGGCUCAACCUGGGAAUUGCAUUUGUGACUGCACGGCUAGAGUGUGUCAGAGGGGGGUAGAAUUCCACGUGUAGCAGUGAAAUGCGUGGAGAUGUGGAGGAAUACCGAUGGCGAAGGCAGCCCCCUGGGAUAACACUGACGCUCAUGCACGAAAGCGUGGGGAGCAAACAGG
rnacentral:rRNA from 1 species